rnacentral:rRNA from 1 species
UACGUAGGGGGCAAGCGUUGUCCGGAUUUAUUGGGCGUAAAGAGCUCGUAGGCGGUUUGUUGCGUCGGCUGUGAAAUCCCGAGGCUCAACCUCGGGUCUGCAGUCGAUACGAGCAAACUAGAGUGUUGCAGGGGAGACUGGAAUUCCUGGUGUGAGCGGUGAAAUGACGCAGAUAUCAGGAGGAACACCGGUGGCGUAAGGCGGGUCUCUGGGCAA